rnacentral:tRNA from 1 species
GCUGGUUAACUAAGUUGACUGAGCGCUUCACUGGAAAUGGAGAGGUCCCUGGUUCGACACCAGGACCAGACG